rnacentral:rRNA from 1 species
UACGAAGGGGGCUAGCGUUGCUCGGAAUCACUGGGCGUAAAGCGCACGUAGGCGGAUUGUUAAGUCAGGGGUGAAAUCCUGGAGCUCAACUCCAGAACUGCCUUUGAUACUGGCGACCUUGAGUCCGGGAGAGGUGAGUGGAACUGCGAGUGUAGAGGUGAAAUUCGUAGAUAUUCGCAAGAACACCAGUGGCGAAGGCGGCUCACUGGCCCGGUACUGACGCUGAGGUGCGAAAGCGUGGGGAGCAACAGG